UUUAAGUACUUAUUUUGGGUUUUUUUAACUUGUGUGAUUAUUUGUGUUUCUAGCUGUUGGUUUCAAUUAGAUGAGGCUAAAAUCUCCAUCACCGGUGUAUAGAGGUAUCUUCGCCACGUUCCUCGCAGGUUCAAGAUAGGUUUUAGGGAAGGUACUGAAGCAGCACCAAGAAAGAAGGUUGCAGCAGCUUCUGCUUAAAAGGCAAAUUAUAAUGGUAUGAGGUUUUGUUUUAGAUGAAGCCAUGUUUAUGAGGAAACAUUUAGUGAUGAAGAGUGAAAUUAUGUCCCAUUGGAUGCUUUAGUUGUUAUUUAGUUUAUAUUUGAAUGUAGAUGUCUUAUAUUUUGAACAAUUAUUGGAGCUAAUGUUUGACCCUUAA